UACAGAGGGUGCAAGCGUUAAUCGGAAUUACUGGGCGUAAAGCGUGCGUAGACGGUUGCGUAAGUCAGAUGUGAAAGCCCCGGGCUCAACCUGGGAAUUGCAUUUGAGACUGCGUAGCUAGGGUGCGGAAGAGGGAAGCGGAACUUCCGGUGUAGCGGUGAAAUGCGUAGAUAUCGGAAGGAACACCAGUGGCGAAAGCGGCUUCCUGGUCCAGCACCGACGUUCAGGCACGAAGGUCAGGGGAGCAAACGGG
rnacentral:rRNA from 1 species